rnacentral:tRNA from 1 species
GAAUUGAAAGCUAAUAACAAGCAUUGGUCUUGUAAACCAAAGAUAGAGAUUUCUCUCAAUUCU